UCUUGAUGUAGCUUGAUGUCUUCAAGCUUUAAGAGCUUAGCCCCAAUAGUGUGGAAGCCUCAAGUGGAAUCACAAAUCACCAAGACACCUUGGAAUACUUUAGAGAAUAUGAUUACUUGGUUCUCUCUAGUGAAAUUGGCUAGCCCUUCUUUAGUGUAUCCACACUAGUGCCAAUUUCACCAACCAAAGACAUCUUUAUAUAGUAUGGAGGAUUAGGGUUAAACCCUAAUACCUAUGACCUUUCAUUUCCUAGGAUCCAUGGGUUAAACACUCCAUGGACUAUCCAUGAAAGCUUAGCCCAACCUAAAUGAACUUGGCCCAUUCCAUAUAUAUAAGAGUCCAUAUUUAAUUAGUUCAUUUUGAUCACUUAAUUAAUUAUAAAUUAAUUCUUGAUCAAUACUAAUUAAAUAAUAUGAUUCCAUAUUAAUAUAUUAGAACUUAUAAUAUAUUAAUAUUAAUCAUAAACAUACUAUUCUCAAAAGAUUAUCCAUAUAAAUUGUGUCGGUGAAGUGCAACCCAAAUGGACCAUGCCGGGUCGGGUCAAGUACAUACCAAAUAUAGUUAUGGACUUAGACAUUAAUCCAACAGUCUCCCACUUGGAUAAGUCUAAAACUAUUAUUGCGUAUGACUUCAAACCUAACUGGCAAUCGUAGCUCUUAAAGCUGCUGUCGAACUCUGAUCUUGUCAACGAACUUGUCCAUUAGAUAAGGGAUCAUAUAUUCCUCCAUUCUAGAUAUCAUAUGGACUGAGACAUGGAUUAUAAUCAUUCUCUCUGUCCAUUUGUUGUUUCCCGAUUUCCGAUUUAUGACGACUGACUAAUUGAACAAAUCAAAUCAGUCCUGGCCCGGCCGAGCACUUCCAUUUGUCAUCAUCAAAUCAUCGAGGGGCCCACAGAUAUCGCUUUUAUCCCGAAGGUAAAAGGAAUGGAUAAACUUCGACUCAUAUGGCUUGUUCUACUACUUGUUGAAUCAUACACAAAGGCACGUUUUAUAGCACCGAGUUACCAAAUGCGUUUUCGUGCAAUCAAUGUACAACCAACUCAUAGUAACAACUCAUAUCUCUAGGUUUGAAGAAUAUAAGAUAUUAUCGUCUCAUGAUCACUCGUGAUAAAAUCCAUGAAGUGAUUCCAAUGAGCGCGGGUUGAAUCCAAUACUCAGAACUUAUGAGCACUCAUGAGUGUUGUAGCCCUUUGUCCAACACCUUAGACCUCUACAAGCCAACCCAUGACAGUCUUAAUUCAUAUCUACUUCCAACAUAUGACCGACUGUGGAUGGUUUGAAUAACUUAGUCAUUCCGGAAGAAUAACCUAGUUUAUUCGGGAAGUCAAAACAUGCAAAGUGAAACACAAUAAUAAUUGAAUCCAAUAUGGUAUCAAAUCUUUGAACAUAAAUAAAACACCUUUUAUUUAUCACCAUAUGAUUACACAUUAUUCAUUGUAUACUGUUUCAGCUAUCAACUUUAUUCUUGAAUUUAAAACAAUAGUUGUCCCAUGCUCCAAGCAUGUACACUAUGUUUUCUUAAACACUAGUCAUGCCACACACCAAGUAUGCAUACUAUGUUUGUCUAUGAUCUUUACUUUGUGAACUAGAUCAAUUGAACAUAACUUCAAUGAUUCUCUUUUCACACUCCCAAAUCCUUACUGCAAAUGCAAGAAUUCCAAAUUCAUGCCAUUUACUGAAAUCUGUUAGAUUCUAAACUUAUAUGCAUUGAUCCUCUUGUAAUGAUUAUGCACAAAGUCAGAAAGACUUGACAACAAUCAUUACAGAGUAUUCCAAAGGAGAUCAGCUCCUUGGAAACAUCCUUCUUGCAUUAAGUUUCCUAAUCUUAAACAGAUUGAAAAUUCUAACUUUGAAACAUUUCCAGAUUCCAUUUUGACUAUCACUUCUGAACAAGAGUUGCCUCCUUACAGAUUAUGUCAAUAUGGUCCUUCCAGAAUUAUCACUAUACUUCCAACUGUCCUUGAGCAACCAAUCUUUGGUAAACCUUAGAUUGUCCUCGACAAUUGUUUAAUCCUUUUAGUCAUAUCCAGUUCUAAACCUUUUCCCUUCUUAAUGCCCCAGGCAUUUGGAAAAUUUUAGAACGGAUGAAUAUAGCACAUGUAAUCGAUCCUAUAUCCGAAGCAUAUGGGACACGAUUCAUGAUGUCUUACAUAAAGACUAAACCAGUCUUUUGCUAUAAUAUUUCCAUUUCAAUUUGCCAAGUUCUCAUAAUUCAGAUUAUGAAAAGGGAUGCCGUAAUCAUAAUCGAAUUUUAGAACGCAAAUAAUGGACCCAUAUACAGAAUUUCCUUAUGUUGAGCCAUUCCAACAUGAAAUUCAUAUAUAUCCUUGACUAAAUGAUUAAAACCUCACGAUCUAAGCUUAUAGAUUUGAGAUGAAGUAUAAUUUCCUCUCCCUUAAUUAUAGCAAAACAACUUUUUCCCAAUUGAAACUUUUGUUUUCUAUAAUUAACAUUGCUAACUUGCAAUACUUAUCAUAAUUAUCAUGCUCCCACUAACAUGAUGAUUAUUAGCAUAACACUUAUGCUCCCACUAGCUUUGACAUGUACUCAGAAAUCAGCUGGACUUCUAGAAAUCAAUACUUCAUUGACUUUCUUACCAAAGUUCAGAUUUCUGAUGCUAGAUUGUUUUGAUAAAGCUUUAUCAAAAUCAUACACCUUCCCUUAGAUAGCACACUUGUGUGUCUAAACAAUUAUGAAGAGGUAUGCCGUAAUCAUAAUGGUUAGACCUUUUUGCCACUUCUCACAAGUCCAGGUUAGUGUGCCGGUUAACCACACGCGCUCCACUAACGACUUUGAGAAUGCAAAUAUCACAAUUGCUAUCUAGAUAAAAUCUACUUAGUGAAAGUGUUUCCUCACCAUCAUUUUCAUGAAUCGGAGAGAAACCUUAUGACACUUAGAUUUAUAUGGUGUAUGAGUUCCUACCCAUAUGAAUUUGUCAAACCAUAAUCACAAGACAAAGAUAAUGACAAAUCCAAAACCAUAUGGAUUGAACUCAAUCUUAACUUCUUGCCACCUGGCAGCUCAAGGGCCUGCCAUUGCUUCCAAGUUGUUAUGCAACAAACUGAGAACUCUAAGAACUCAUAUGCAAAGCCAACUUUAACUGGAAUGGGCACAGAUAUGUCAACACGAUAGGUUAUAAACCUCAAGUCGUGUGCUAGUGAAGAACUUCAGGUUUUAUUCUUGAUUAGUUCUUGAGACUUUCAAGACCUUUAAGACUCCCACUGUCCUCUUGACAUAUAAGACUCCCUUGUCAAACAUCCAAGAGAUAGUGCGGAUUCUAAUCAAGAAAAACACUUUACCCAAUUGGCCUAAGUUGGUCUUUGUUUUAUCCAAAACAUCACAACUUACCAAUUUCAAAUGUACAAGAGUAGAAAACUUUUACUCUUACAUUUGACAAGUGUUUUAAACCUUCUUUAAGACAUGUCACUCAAAUGACAAUCUUGGAGUAUGACUCUAAGACUUGUAUUGGAACGAAGUAUGACUCAUCUUCUUGAUUUAACCAUUUCAACAAUUCAAGUUCCUCUUCUUAGUCAUAAGAAUGCACUAAGAUUUCCUUAGAGAACUAAUUUUGAUAUGGUUUCUUAAUCAUUAAGAUGAUCACAAAACUGAUACUAAAGUACUCUCCCAUCUUUUCAGAUUUGAGAAACUUUUAUCCUUCUGCCUUAUUUGAUUCUUCUUAUCGAUCUUUAGUGGUGGACUUAAUCAGUGCACAAGAAUGUGUACUCGAUCCCUAAGUCCUUUACUUGACUCACACAUCCAUGUGAACAAGUAAUUAGUCUUAAUUUUCCAAAACUUGAAAGUUCUCAUUCAUCAUGCUAUACAACUUGCAUGAUUCCAAGUUCCGGUCCAAUUGAAACUUGGGUGAUGAGAAUCUUUCCUUAUUUGGUAAAUUUAGACAUUACCACAAAUGAAAGAAUCAAUUUCAUACUUCCACUCUUGCUACUAAUGGAAUCUUAUAAGCAACAAAAAUUUCCACAGAUGCCAUUGUAAGGAUAUUUUAAAAUAAAUAAAAUCAAAAAUUUCCUUUUAUUUUAAAACUUUGCGGAAAAACUAUCCUUACAAUCCAUAUGAAAACUUGUUGUUAUCUAUUCCUAAGCAAUAUCUCAUAACUCCUAAGAAGUAGCUCAAGAAUCCGAUUUUUCAAACUAUGCGAUAGAAAUCCAUCUAUGCGAUCAGAUUCAGCAUAUUCUUCCUUUAAGUUUCUUCACUUUCCUUUGAUUCUUAAACCAUCACCAUGCGACCCGGUCACAUCAUGUAUCAAGAAUCUCAGAAUAGAAACUUAACAGAGUUAGAUAGUGGAUUUUACCUGAAGUAGAGUCAAACUUAUUGACUUUAACAUCCUUAGGUAAAUUUGGCAGCUUCGCAACCAAUGCCCUUUCUUUGGCAAUACAAACAUAUGGACCCUUUGAUAAUGGUACACAGGACUAUCACAGACUUAGCUUUUCUCUUUACCAUUUGGUCAACCGAGUUGACUAUAGCCGAUCCCUUUCCAUUGGGAAGAGAAUGCUUUACUGGAUAUCCAAUGUCAUCAUUGUCAAUGUCCAUAAAGUUUUAGGAAGUUGAUCUUAACAAAUAGAUAAGAUCAUUAAGGGUCUUGUCAUAGUCUUUUUCAUAGGUGUUCCAAAAGAACUCACUAUGUGACUUAGAAAGUAGUUGAACCACCAACUUUCUCAAGACUUUGACACCCAACUCUCCCGGCUUGUCAAUAUGUGACUACAUCUCCAAGAUGUGACCACACCUAGACCUUGCCUUGCCAAAAGGGCCUGAGUGACCUUAAACUUUUCAAGAACUUGUGGGUUAGGGAGAAUAAUUUGAAGAGGUGAAGAAGUAUGAUAUCCAUGGGACAUCAUCUUCAUUAGGAAACCUUGUUUCAAGAGAUUUGGGAAGAUCAUAGGUGUCUAAACCAGACAUCUUUUGGGAGAUAUUCAAGAUAGUUGAUUUAAAGUCCUUAAUAUGACACCCAAUAUGAAAUAUUAAGGCUAGGACCCAACAAACUAUUUUAUAACUUAGAAGAGGUAUGCCGUAAUCCAAGCUAUAAAAUAUUUGAAGGUAGGUGAAUGACGAUUCACCAAUUUCCACCAAGAUAAACGAAAUGUAUUAUUAGGUUUUAAUUGGUUUUGAAACUCCUAGAUCUUUGAGAUUCAUUGAACUUUUCAAAGGCAUGUUUCAAUCUCGAGUGUGCCCUUCAGGUUUUGUGACUGGGAUGCCGAGGAUCACAAAACAAGGUGUGAAGUAACCAUGCAAAUCACUUGGUACCCUUAAUAAAUUACCCCUCAAUCGAUGUGCCGGUUAACCACACACGCUCCAUCGAUACUAUGAUAAAUAUUAAGUCACCCUUUACCUACCUUGUUAAGUCCAAGUUAGUGUGCCGGUUAACCACACACGCUCCACUAACGACUUAGACAAAGUGUAAAGUGUAAUUUCAUGGAUUAGCACCUUAUUCACAUUUUUCCUAAGUAACUAAGAUUGGGUAUUAUUAAGAGUUUAGUUACUUAGUAUUAUCAUUAAUACUUUUAAUGAAGGGAGAAUUCUAGUCCUGUCAAACCCGUUCGGCUAACGACCCUCCACCAGUCAAGCAAGCGGUGGGUGAGAGUGGACACCCAUUAAGUUGCCAUUUUAUAGGCAACAACCUUAUACCCACCUUAUAGACCGGCUUCGUGAAUGAGGCGUACUAGCGGUAAGACUGACUUUACUCUUAUACAUAUAUAUAUUAUUAACUUAUAAUAUUAUAAAGUAUAAGGGUUGAAUUUUAACUUUUAAAAUUCUAAGGGCUAACUUGGAAUUAAAGUAUUCAUAAGUGAAAACUUUACAAAUUCCAAAACUUGAGGGCAAGUUUUGAAACUAUUCAAAACUAAUUAAUUCCAUAACUUAUGUGUUUAAAGUAGUUUUAAUCCAAAAACUCUUCAAGUUCCAUAACUUGAGGACAAGUUAUGGAAGACUUUAAACUAAUAAAAGAAUUAACUUUUCUUUAUUUUAUAACUUAUGGAAUUAAUUAAGGUUACACUUUUUUUUUUUUUAUUUUAUUUUAUUAAAUGAAGAGACUCUUGGUCCUCCAUAACUUGAGGACAAGUUAUGGAGUCAUAAAACCAUUUAAUUAGAACUAGACUCUUCAUUUUUGUAACCUUUGCCAAUUUUUAUGAGUUUUAUGAUUCUUAAAUGUGACUUUUCAUAUAACUUGAGGACAAGUUACAAAAACACAUUUUAGAAUCAAUUCUUAGAUUAAUUUGGAUUAAAACCAACUAUCACAUAAUUUUAUUCAUUAAUCUAAAUUCACUCAUAAAACAAGGUAACACAAAAAACUUUUGGUGAUCCAUAACUUAUUCUUAAGUUAUGGAAUCCUUUAAAACAUUAACACCAAAUUUUGUAACUCCAAAAAAACUUUGAAUCAAUUUUUUUUUUAAAACCUUUUCAUAUCCAUAACUUAUGGAGGUUUCAAAAAAUAAAACUCUUUAGAUCAAACUUUUAAAACUAAUAAAAUAAUCAUAUUAUUUUAUCUUUUAUUAAAUUUGACCUAAUUCAACUCAUAAAGCAAAUUAUUCAAAUUUUACAAAUAAUUAGUUUUUCACAAGAACAAGUAAUUAUCUUAAAAUUUGACAAACUUCAUGUUUUUUUUUUUUUUUUUUUUCAACUUUGAAAAUAAAAUAUUUGCAUCAAUAUAACAGAAAACAACCCGUGGCUCUGAUACCACUGUUGGGUUUUGAGCAUUCUAACACUUCCUAAGUGUACAUGCAACCCUAAAUACCUUGGAUCUAUGUUUUCUCUAUUAUACAUGCAAAUAAGAACAUCCAAGGUAUUAUCCUAAUCUAGCAUACAAAAACUAUGAAUGUAACAAGAUAGAAUACAUACCUCUUGAUGUAGCUUGAUGUCUUCAAGCUUUAAGAGCUUAGCCCCAAUAGUGUGGAAGCCUCAAGUGGAAUCACAAAUCACCAAGACACCUUGGAAUACUUUAGAGAAUAUGAUUACUUGGUUCUCUCUAGUGAAAUUGGCUAGCCCUUCUUUAGUGUAUCCACACUAGUGCCAAUUUCACCAACCAAAGACAUCUUUAUAUAGUAUGGAGGAUUAGGGUUAAACCCUAAUACCCAUGACCUUUCAUUUCCUAGGAUCCAUGGGUUAAACACUCCAUGGACUAUCCAUGAAAGCUUAGCCCAACCUAAAUGAACUUGGCCCAUUCCAUAUAUAUAAGAGUCCAUAUUUAAUUAGUUCAUUUUGAUCACUUAAUUAAUUAUAAAUUAAUUCUUGAUCAAUACUAAUUAAAUAAUAUGAUUCCAUAUUAAUAUAUUAGAACUUAUAAUAUAUUAAUAUUAAUCAUAAACAUACUAUUCUCAAAAGAUUAUCC
rnacentral:lncRNA from 1 species